ensembl:lncRNA
CAUGGAUCCCUUUGACCCUUUAUCCCAUCCUGAAUACCUCCUCCUCCAGCUGGAGCAGGGGGAAAGAUCGCUCGGUGCCAUACCAGAAUGUUCCUAGCCAUUGCUCCGCUUACCAGCUACCCACUCUGCACGUUCUAUGACAGAAGCCUGAACCAUGCGUGCAGCGUGCCGUUGUCCAAAGAUGGCCCUCGAGCAGAUUUCACCUUUAUGGAGUGGAUACUGGCGAGAAAUGGAUCUCCGUUUACUGUCUGUCCUGAUGAUGAUCUCGCCAGUUCCACUCCUGACACAGAGCCCAGCCCACCAUCACCCCGCUGCGCAGAGCUUAAGCCUGAGCCCACCGAUAACAGAGUGCCCACCGUGACCGACAAGCCAUCGCCGCAAGGAGCGACAGAGCUGAGGAUCACCGCAGAUCUGGAGCUGCUGAUGACAUCAGUCCAGGUGCGAGAGCCGGCUACAACUCUUCCCACGAGGGAGAAUGCAGUGGACAGCGAGAGUGCGGCGAGGAGCUCCCCUUGCACGAUGACUGAGGAGCUCUCUGUCAGUCCUGCCUCCACAUCUAGCCGAGAGAGGGCUGUUAUUCCCAUGUCUGGUGAUUCACUCCCAAGCCCUAUGAUGACAGCAGCUAUCUCCUUCAUCUCAGCCCAAAAGAGGAGAAUGAAUAGAAAAAGACUGUUGGCUCAAGCCCCUGACCAGAGUUGAGAGAUGGCUCGAGCCCCUGACCAGAGUCAAGAGAUGGCUCUAGCCCCUGACCAGAGUCGAGAGAGGACUUCAGUUCCUGAGUUCAGCCCAGAGAGGGCUUCUUUUCCCGAGUACAUCCCAGAGAGGGCUCCUGUUCCCACGUCCACCACAAAGAGGGCAGCGGUUUCCGCGUCCGGCCCAGGGUGGGCCUCAGAUCCCAAGUCUGGUCCAGAGAGGGCUCCUGUUUCCAUGUCCAGCCCAGAGAAUAAAUGAAUGUAUAAAUGAAUAAGGCAUUUAUAUAGCACUUUUAUUGUGUAUUGCUGUACACCGAAAGUGCUUUACAAUCAUAUGAGG